rnacentral:rRNA from 1 species
CGGCGGAGCAUGUGGAUUAAUUCGAUGCAACGACGAAGAACCUUACCUGGGCUUGACAUACACCAGAUCGGCGCAGAGAUGCGUUUUCCCUUGUGGUUGGUGUACAGGUGGUGCAUGGUUGUCGUCAGCUCGUGUCGUGAGAUGUUGGGUUAAGUCCCGCAACGAGCGCAACCCUUGUCUUAUGUUGCCAGCACGUGAUGGUGGGGACUCAUGAGAGACUGCCGGGGUUAACUCGGAGGAAGGUGGGGAUGACGUCAAAUCAUCAUGCCCCUUAUGUCCAGGGCUUCACACAUGCUACAAUGGUCGGUACAACGCGUGUGCGACACUGUGAGGUGAAGCUAAUCGCUCUAAAGCCGGUCGUAGUUCGGAUUGGGGUCUGCAACUCGACCCCAUGAAGUCGGAGUCGCUAGUAAUCGCAGAUCAGCAACGCUGCGGUGAAUACGUUCCCGGGCCUU